UGAAAUUAAAAGAAUGGAAUACUCUUUCUGAAGUGAAGUUAUUUAAAAAGCAGGGAUUAUCCUAAAAAGAAUAUAGACAGGAAAACGAGAAGCUGCAUGGGAAUUAUGUACACAUUACACGGGUUGUUGCAUGAAAGGGUGACAUUAUGGACAUGAAAUUACACCAAAAUUACAUGUAUGCUGCUAAUUAUGGUUUGUCAUCUGUGGUUACCACGUUUUAGCAAUGUGGUUCCUAAGGCAUGGCUCAUUCAUGCUGUUUUACGAAGAUACUUUUUUCCCCCCUCUGUGUAGUGUUUUGGUUACAGAGGAACAUCGUGCUUCCACCAUCAGCACUGAAGGUGGCGGCAACAUUUUCUCUGUUCGGAGUUGGUUGUGCCGUGUGGUCUUUAGAUCACUACAGCUACAAGUGAGGUACAAUAACUGAUUCCACAUUUUCUUUAAAUGACUUCAUUUGACUCCAAAGCUACAAUAGUAAUAAUGACAAUGUUUUGUUUCCAUUGUUGUAUGUACUAAAAUACAAAGAAGCCUAUAAUAGAUGGGAAUUUCUGUACAAUA